rnacentral:tRNA from 1 species
GCACCCAUGGCGGAAUUGGUAGACGCAAGAGACUUAAAAUCUCUCGACCCUUGGUCGUGCCGGUUCGAUUCCGGCUGGGUGCACCA